rnacentral:rRNA from 1 species
ACGGAGGGUGCAAGCGUUAUCCGGAAUCACUGGGUUUAAAGGGUGCGUAGGCGGUUAAAUAAGUCAGAGGUGAAAGGUUGUCGCUUAACGAUAAAAUUGCCUUUGAUACUGUUUGACUAGAAUUGGUAUGAGGUAGGCGGAAUGCGACAUGUAGCGGUGAAAUGCAUAGAUAUGUCGUAGAACACCAAUUGCGAAGGCAGCUUACUAGUACUUGAUUGACGCUGAGGCACGAAAGCGUGGGGAGCGAACAGG